rnacentral:piRNA from 1 species
CAACAGUACAUGUGCUGUUCAGGCCAGCUGU